AUGUAAUGGUAUGAGGUCGCCCCCCUCCCCGCGGACUCCAUACGCCGGGUCCGAGCUAUAAUCAUGGCCGGGAGCUCAGAUGCUGGAUGGCAACAAGUGUCGGUACUGGUUGGCAGCUAGGACUACGUGUAUUGGAGCGACUGGAGCACCGGGGGCAUUGAUCAAGACUGGCCAGAGCCGCAGCCUCGCCAAGGAUGUGCCCUGCAUCCCCCCAGGUACGCCAGACUGCCCGAAUGUGCCGCUGUUGGUGUCCGGCAAGAAUAUCCGUGCCCAGCUUCUUGGGCGAACUUGCAGAAGCCUCGCAUCAUUGCCGUGCAUGCCAUGAAGGCGAGGCGUCUGCUAUUCUGGACAGAUGUCGGCAAUCAUCAGGCCAUCCGGACAGAUAAUUUUAAGUGGCGGGAGUAGUGACAUGAACAACGACUGUAUAUCCGCCUUCUAGCGCUGAGACGAAAGGACUGCCCGGCGGAUUCAGCUGAUAGUCAGCCGAGGGCAGCGACAAGGCUCUGAUCUGCUAUCGUACCACCUGUGACAACAGUCGGCCCGACUGCUGCAAGCGGCCAGGAGAUUUUCAGUGUGCCAUCAACAAGCUUUGCAUAUCGGCCGCCCUGCUCUGCGAUGGCUGGGAACUCUGCCGAUGCAUGGCGGCGCAUGGCCUAAAGAAUCGAGCUCUACUGGCUCCAUCGAAGAAAAUAAAUAAAACAGUAAGCAGGAAGCACGCCGUCAAGCACACCCUUUUAAAGACUUUAAAAAUACAGUAGAGAAUCUGCAGGAUAUUUCAUUUGAGGUGCAACGCGACCAAGCAGCGGAUGAAGAUGGAGCGAAAAGGCUCUGGACGAGUGUGCCAGGUUUUUAGCGGAGUAUAGUCCGGUCAAACAGUCCAAGAGCUCGAGAGGCAUCGGGAGCCAGCUUGCCUACUUGCCUACUUGCAUACCCAGCCGCGAGGAAACUAAGGAGCUGAGUUAAACCAGCUGAGCCAACGCUUUCAGCAAGAACGAGGUGCGAGUGGCCCAGAUCUUGUGGGACCGGAAAGCCUGUUUCCAGCUAAUGAAAUGAAACAAGAAACACGUAUUUAAGGAUAUAUUAGUUUUGUGGUGGAUGUGCAUGUGUGCAACACCAAAAGGAGGCGGCUUCUGACCCCAUAAAGUGAAUAGAGGAUAAACGGAGAGCAACAAUUAACAUGAAAUCAUAACUAGUGGUCGUGGUUCCUCUCUAUUUGUCUCUCUAGAGAGAGAGAGAGAGAGAGAAUACUGCAGUCAUCAGCUCCGAUACCAACUCUGUGGCUUACGUAUAAUUAGGUAUGAAAUAUUUAUAUUUUGUAAGUUGUAUAAAUCAUAAGGCUCUCCCAUAAUAUGUACUGACUUAGUGGCCAAAUACUGCUUAUAGCAAUUUCUGUACGGUUGUGCUGUCUGUGAUUAGAUUUACUUUACUUAGUUCAGCUUUUCGUGACAAAGCACCUGCGAAAAACUAGCACAACGAAUUCAGUAAUGUCCUUCGCUGCGACGAAUCUCGUGACGGUCGUCCUACAAUGGUUGUCGUACCGAAAAAGAUUCGGUGGGGUGUUGGCUAUUGCAAGAUUUUAGGGGAUUAACCAGGUACCAGGAUACAUUCAAUUCUGCAUGAACAUUUGGCCAUCAAAAAUAAUUGUUCUUGUGGGAUACUUCAUAAUUCACAAUCGCCCAAAAAAAAGCUCUUGUCAAUUGAUGCUAAGAUGUGAUAUCCAAAUGCAGUCGUGGUCACUAAUCAUGGAUAAAAGAAUAUGAGCCCGACACCCAACAGCAAUUGAUGUUAUGGGUGUUUUAAAACGAUGCAAAUGCUAAACCAAAUGUUAAAAAGGAGGGAGAUCAUUCUGACAUUUUGAGAGCCAGAAGGGGUGCGAAAGUAGGUUAAAACGUUAAAAAAUGGAUAAUCAUCGUCCAGACGAAUAUGUUUAGAAACAAUAAAACUGUAUUUUUAAAGC